rnacentral:rRNA from 1 species
GACGAACGCUGGCGGCGUGCUCCAGACAUGCAAGUCGAGCGGGCGGAGGUCGAACCGCAAGGGGAGGCUGAAGCUAGCGGCGAACGGGUGAGUAACACGUGGGUAAUCUACCCGGAAGACUGGGAUAACGGCCCGAAAGGGCCGCUAAUACCGGAUAAUAUCGCGGUCUCGCAUGAGGCUGCGAAGAAAGGCGAAAGCCACUUUCGGAUGAGCCCGCGACCCAUCAGCUAGUUGGUGAGGUAACGGCUCACCAAGGCGACGACGGGUAGCCGGUCUGAGAGGAUGGUCGGCCACACUGGGACUGAGAUACGGCCCAGACUCCUACGGGAGGCAGCAGUCGGGAAUAUUGGGCAAUGGGCGAAAGCCUGACCCAGCGACGCCGCGUGAGGGAAGAAGGCCUUCGGGUCGUAAACCUCUGUCAUCGGGGACGAAGGAAGUGACGGUACCCGAGGAGGAAGCCCCUGCUAACUACGUG